CGCGCUAAGAAAUUGGCAUAUAGUGGCCGGGCACAUUUGACGCACGUAGCGGUGACAAGCAAGAAUUCUCCUUCACUGAUCGUUCAUAGAAAGCAAAAGUCAUGCUCGAUAGCUGCUGAAUUGAAAUAAACUAUAUUUCUAAAAUUUGUUCUACCUAAAAUAAAAAAUUAAAUAAUUAAUUUGUUACUCUACUUAAACCUACUAUUUACAAUUCAAUUGUAAUUUGUUAACCUAAAAAGGAUACGGGAAGAAUCUUGACGGUGAUAGAUUGAACUGAAAAUUUCUAAAGCUGAAUCCAACAAUCCUUGUGUUUGGUCUGCUACGGAAAUAGUUCCAACAAUUUCUUUAGAAAUUUUCACCGCGAGAUCCCCUGAUAAUGAGUAAAGUUGGUGAUGGUGAGAAUCCACAAGAGGAGUCUGCUUGUGCAACUUGUGAUCGCCCGGAUAGUGUCGAGGAUAUGGUGGCAUGCGACACCUGCAGUAGUUGGUUCCAUUUCACCUGCGCGAAUGUUAACGAAGACGUCUCGAAUCAGCCGUGGAAAUGCAUGUCGUGCGGAACACCUAAUCGAAACCAAUCGGUACCAAAAUUGUUGCUCUUGCCAACCAGCGGAGGAAAAUCAUCAAAAGUAUGCAAAACUGAAGGAAGCAAGAAGUCGACAAACAAAGGGUCCGUAAGUGCUGCCUCUAGUGUUAAGAAUAGGGCGAUCGAGAUAGAGAUUAGAGUGAUAGAGGAACAAGAACGUAUUGAAGAGCAGGAAUCAAAAAGAGAAGAAAGAGAUGAUGCAAAAAAAGUUAAAUUUAGAAAAGCAAAUGAGAGAUCGUGAAUUAGCAUUAGAAGCCAAAAAGUUGGCAGAUGAAAAAGCGUAUCAAGAAAAACAACUCGCGGAUGAAGAAAAAUUUCGUAAAGCCCAAUCA